GGAAAAAUCCUUUUUGCAUAUCAAUAAGCGGAGGAAAAGAAACCAACAGGGAUUGCCUCAGUAACGGCGAGUGAAGCGGCAAAAGCUCAAAUUUGAAAUCCCCCCGGGGAGUUGUAAUUUGAAGAUUGCGUCUUGGAGGCGACCGUGUCUAUGUUCCUUGGAACAGGACGUCACAGAGGGUGAGAAUCCCGUGCGGCACGGCCCCCGGCUCCUUAUAAGGCGCUCUCGACGAGUCGAGUUGUUUGGGAAUGCAGCUCAAAGUGGGUGGUAAAUUCCAUCUAAAGCUAAAUACAGGCGAGAGACCGAUAGCGAACAAGUACAGUGAUGGAAAGAUGAAAAGCACUUUGAAAAGAGAGUGAAACAGCACGUGAAAUUGUUGAAAGGGAAGGGCAUGCCGUCAGAUUGUCAGUGUGGGUAAGAAGCGGGGUACAAAGACUGUGGAACGUGGCCCUCGGGUGUUAUAGCCGCAGUUCAUGCCCCGUCUCUUUCCGAGGCCUGCUUUGAGGACACCGACGUAAUGACGGUACGCCGCCCGUCUUGAAACACGGACCAAAUUGUUUGUUUUUU
rnacentral:rRNA from 1 species